rnacentral:rRNA from 1 species
AGAGUUUGAUCCUGGCUCAGGAUGAACGCUGGCGGCGUGCUUAACACAUGCAAGUCGAACGAACCUUCGGGUUAGUGGCGGACGGGUGAGUAACGCGUGAGAAUCUGCCCCCAGGAGGGGGAUAACGGCUGGAAACGGCCGCUAAUACCCCAUAUGCCGAGAGGUGAAAUGAAUUUCGCCUGAGGAUGAGCUCGCGUCUGAUUAGCUUGUUGGUGGGGUAAUGGCCUACCAAGGCGACGAUCAGUAGCUGGUCUGAGAGGAUGAUCAGCCACACUGGGACUGAGACACGGCCCAGACUCCUACGGGAGGCAGCAGUGGGGAAUUUUCCGCAAUGGGCGAAAGCCUGACGGAGCAACGCCGCGUGAGGGAUGAAGGCCUCUGGGCUGUAAACCUCUUUUAUCAAGGAAGAAGAUCUGACGGUACUUGAUGAAUAAGCCACGGCUAAUUCCGUGCCAGCAGCCGCGGUAAUACGGGAGUGGCAAGCGUUAUCCGGAAUUAUUGGGCGUAAAGCGUCCGCAGGCGGCCUGACAAGUCUGCUGUUAAAGCGUGGAGCUUAACUCCAUUUCAGCAGUGGAAACUGUCAGGCUUGAGUGUGGUAGGGGCAGAGGGAAUUCCCGGUGUAGCGGUGAAAUGCGUAGAUAUCGGGAAGAACACCAGUGGCGAAAGCGCUCUGCUGGGCCAUCACUGACGCUCAUGGACGAAAGCCAGGGGAGCGAAAGGGAUUAGAUACCCCUGUAGUCCUGGCCGUAAACGAUGAACACUAGGUGUCGGGGGAAUCGACCCCCUCGGUGUCGUAGCCAACGCGUUAAGUGUUCCGCCUGGGGAGUACGCACGCAAGUGUGAAACUCAAAGGAAUUGACGGGGGCCCGCACAAGCGGUGGAGUAUGUGGUUUAAUUCGAUGCAACGCGAAGAACCUUACCAGGGUUUGACAUCCUGCGAAUCUCUUGGAAACGAGAGAGUGCCUUCGGGAACGCAGUGACAGGUGGUGCAUGGCUGUCGUCAGCUCGUGUCGUGAGAUGUUGGGUUAAGUCCCGCAACGAGCGCAACCCACGUCUUUAGUUGCCAGCAUUUAGUUGGGCACUCUAGAGAGACCGCCGGUGAUAAACCGGAGGAAGGUGUGGAUGACGUCAAGUCAUCAUGCCCCUUACAUCCUGGGCUACACACGUACUACAAUGCUACGGACAAAGGGCAGCAAGUUCGCGAGGACAAGCAAAUCCCAUAAACCGUGGCUCAGUUCAGAUCGUAGGCUGCAACUCGCCUACGUGAAGGAGGAAUCGCUAGUAACCGCAGGUCAGCAUACUGCGGUGAAUACGUUCCCGGGCCUUGUACACACCGCCCGUCACACCAUGGAAGUUGGCCACGCCCGAAGCCGUUACUCCAACCCUUGUGGAGGAGGACGUCGAAGGUGGGGCUGAUGACUGGGGUGAAGUCGUAACAAGGUAACC